UUGGACUCAGAAAAAUGACUUGAAUUUUUAGGCAUAUUAUCGAGUGUCAAAGAAAGCGAAAAAAAAUGGCCUCGAAACUUGUGAAUCCCUGGGAAAUAUAUAAUUGGCUGGAAAAAUAUAAAUUGAAAUUUCUAAAAGUAUAAAAAAUAACCUGGAAAAAUGUUAGGCAAGCAUAGGUUCAUUUCAUGAAUUUUCAGACAUCAUUUGUAUUGUCUUAGAGACAAACCAAGGGCUUCACAUCAGUGUAAUAUCAUAUAUCAUAAUUCAAGUGGCUAAAAAUUACGUCAAAGCUGGAAAAUUAACAUCAAUAGAGGCAUGGAAAAUGAUUUCAAACGUUUCGAAAAUAUAGGAGAAAUACCUGAACGUGCGCAAAAUUAAAGUGACAAAAAUUAUACUUUUCUUCCUGGGAAAGAAAAAACAUUAAUAUAAAUAACGAAUUUAAAAACCGAAUUUCUAUGUGACCCCAAUAACGGCGAGAACCUGAGUAAUACGUUUUCAUCCUUGAUCUACAAAUCGGCACCUACGGAUCCGGUUCAAGAAGUUCAAAAAUACAAAAACAUAAUUUUUGAUUCAUUGAAUUUCUUUGCAAAUAUGAUGCAUAUCUUUUCGUUGGUUUCUUAUUGUAGAUCCGAACUGGUUGCACCCAUAUCUGCAAAAUUAUCAAGUUAUCAUGGGUUUGCAGUUCGUACGAUUGUCGAAGUAUCGUAAUCCCCAUCCCCACCCAUUUAAACUGAUCGUACCUGCAUGAACUAUUUGGGAUUUUAUUAAAUUAAUCAAAUAUAUAGCACAAUGGCCUGACAUUUUAAAAUUAUUA